rnacentral:rRNA from 1 species
CGCAAGGGGAGUGGCAGACGGGUGAGUAACGCGUGGGAACGUGCCCCAAGGUACGGAACAACUCCGGGAAACUGGAGCUAAUACCGUAUGUGCCCGAGAGGGGAAAGAUUUAUCGCCGAAGGAUUGGCCCGCGUUCGAUUAGCUAGUUGGUGAGGUAACGGCUCACCAAGGCGACGAUCGAUAGCUGGUCUGAGAGGAUGAUCAGCCACAUUGGGACUGAGACACGGCCCAAACUCCUACGGGAGGCAGCAGUGGGGAAUAUUGGACAAUGGGCGCAAGCCUGAUCCAGCCAUGCCGCGUGAGUGAUGACGGCCUUAGGG